CGCUGAGAGAUGGGGGUUGGGGGGAUUUAAAAUCGCGCGCCUGGCAGGGGCGGGGCGGGGGCCACCUGCCCUCCGGCGGGAAGAGCUGGGCAGGGCCCGCGGCGUGCAGGGCGGAGGCACUGACCGUCCGCACGCGGAACAGACUCUGUGGCAAUAAGAUAUCAAAUUACAAACAGGACCUCAGGCCACACCGGGCAAAGGUCGAGCCGCGUACCCUACACCAAGAGGACGGACUCUGCUCUCACGCCACAGCUGCUUCUUUUUCUGCAGCGGCUAAACACGCACUGGCCCCGCGAUGAGCAAGAUUCAAACAACUGCAGCUCAUCCACCCGCAGAUGCCAACUGACCACGUUCCACAGCCAUGACCACAGCUCUGAUUGGGCAGGAGACUGACUUCAGGAACCUCCUCCUGAUAAGGGACCCCAACCAUGGACUGGCUCCGGCCGGUUUACAGAGGCUGCGCACCUGAGUGCCUGUGUCCUGAGAAGACCUGAGGUUUAGGGCCUCAUUGAGACACACUGACAUGUUAAGACUCCACUUCAGAGUGAACACAGGUCGUAUGUUACACGCAUGUUUGUUUAGUACGCAUGCAGCAGGACCCCCCUCAUGAAUAUUCACCUCUCCUCCAUAACCUUCUGCACAGGUUUAGCCAACCCAGUCAGCAUGGUCAGCACGGAGCUCCUGCCCCAGCCACCCCUCCCCUUCGAAGUGUCUCGUCCUGGCUCCUCUGGUCUUGGCGGAGGCUGUGCUUCCCAGCCUGGGGGACAGGGCCUUGCAGGCUGUGCCCCUUUACAGAAACAAAGUCUCCUGUUCUAAAAGCAGACCUUGUGAUUUUCAGCUCAUGGCAUUUGCUCCCCUUCCGAAUAGCUGGAUUUGCAUUCCAGCCACUCCAUGAGAUUCCAGCCCCAAAGGAACCUCGACCCCGCCUGGACCCCCAGCAAAGGCUCCGGCCCACAGGUGCUGCCCACUCGGUGAGUCGGGCCCCCUGCUGGUUGUGGCCCCUCCAUGGGACCUGAGAGCAUGAGGAACUUCCCCCUCCUGAGCCUCACGCCUGUCUCCGGUGGCUGAGGUGUGGCCGUCCCUUCCCAACCCUGGAAGUGUCUGGAACACCCGGCCCAUCAGCCCCAGAGGGGACCCAUCAACUGAGUCCAAAAGUGGCUGCUCUGACAAUCAGGAUUCAGAUGUGUGAAGAAAAGGCUGUAUGUGUGUGGUGUGAGUAUGCAUGCACGUAGUGUGCCUGUGUGUAUGUGGCAAGUGUGUCCCUGUGUGUGGUGCAUGUGUACAGUGACUGUGCACAUGCACACUGCAGUGUGUGCACCUGUGGGUGUGUGUGGUAUGACGUGCACGUGCGUGUGUGGAGACUGAGGGGGCAGGGGCAGGAGGUGAGCCCCUGAGGCUGUGUUCUGUGAGCACAGGAGUGGUGUGAGGUGGGACUGCCCUCUAAUGCUGUCCUUGAAGGGGCUUCGUGUCCCAGGCCACGGUCCCUGCCUGGACUGCACAGCAGCUCUCCUGGGCCCUGUACACACCUGGAAACCAGGGGCCGCAAGGAGCCAGGCCCAGAGCCUGGGGUGUAGACUGAAAAGCCCCUCCCUCACGUGGGCAGGGGUCAGAGGGAGGCCCACGCAGCCCUGCACACACCUCCAGGAAGCGAGACGCGACAUCCUGGUCUUCUUUGUUCAGCACCAGAUUGUCCACGAACAUCCAGAAGAAGGGCCUGGGGCUGCCAGGCUUGGGCCGUGCGUACUGCAGGAGCCGGUGGAACUGGAACAGCAGCAAUGGAGCCCUGCCCAGUGCUGGGGCCACAGAGAUGCGAGGACCCCUCCUCCCCCAGGCAGGCCUAGAUUUGGGAAGAGACAGACAGGCAACCCCGAGGGAGGAGCUGACGCAGAGUGCAUGCCGAGACACAAAUACCGCCUUUUAGAGGAAGCUCCAGAGGACACAUGAGCUGCAGUGAUGUGGGCACGCUGGCGGCUGCACGGGGUCAGCGGGAGGCUUGGGGGGCACAGGGAAGCCUGCAGUGAUGGGGACGCUUACUCUGUUGCUCAUGAUGAGGGGUGCAUGGGUGUGGAGCUAGCUCAGAACUCAUCCAGUCGGACACGCUGAAUGCAUGCAACUUACUGUAUGUCAGUGGUGCCUUGAUAAAGCUGUUUUUGAAAAAUGC